rfam:Echinostoma caproni strain Egypt genome assembly, scaffold: ECPE_scaffold0003421
GCACUGCUGAUGAGAUCCAAACAGGUCGAAAUAUAUGUCCAGUGC